rnacentral:tRNA from 1 species
GCCCGGGUGGUGGAAUCGGUAGACACUGCAGACUUAAAAUCUGUUGCCCGCAAGGGCGUGCGGGUUCAAGUCCCGCCCCGGGCACCA